rfam:Brassica oleracea var. oleracea cultivar TO1000 chromosome C8, whole genome shotgun sequence
GGAAUAUAAGAACCCGUCUCUUAAUUUUUAAUUAAAAAAUUAAGAACCGGUUCUUAGCUUUUUAGUUAAAAUUUAAGAGACGGGUUCUUAUAUUCC